rnacentral:rRNA from 1 species
GAUGAACGCUGGCGGCGUGCCUAACACAUGCAAGUCGAACGAAGCUCCUCUGUGGAGCCCCCCGGGGCGAAGGAGAGGAUGACUGAGUGGCGGACGGGUGAGUAACGCGUGGGUAACCUGCCCUAUACAGGGGGACAACAGUUAGAAAUGACUGCUAAUACCGCAUAAGCGCACGGCAUCACAUGAUGCAGUGUGAAAAACUCCGGUGGUAUAGGAUGGGCCCGCGUCUGAUUAGUUAGUUGGCAGGGUAACGGCCUACCAAGACGACGAUCAGUAGCCGGCCUGAGAGGGUGAACGGCCACAUUGGGACUGAGACACGGCCCAAACUCC